UGGACAGAUUAUUGUAUUCGACUGUGUUCAAAGCGUGAAAUAGGGGAUUACACUGUUUUUAAAUGGAAAGUGAAUCAAUUAAUAUAAUAGACUCCU
rfam:Nicotiana sylvestris Nsyl_contig83041, whole genome shotgun sequence.